rnacentral:rRNA from 1 species
UACGGAGGGUGCGAGCGUUAAUCGGAAUUACUGGGCGUAAAGCGCGCGUAGGCGGCUUGGUCAGUUGGAUGUGAAAGCCCAGGGCUCAACCUUGGAACUGCAUUCAAUACUGCCAGGCUAGAGUGUGAUAGAGGGAGGUGGAAUUUCUAGUGUAGCGGUGAAAUGCGUAGAUAUUAGAAGGAACAUCAGUGGCGAAGGCGGCCUCCUGGAUUAACACUGACGCUGAGGUGCGAAAGCGUGGGGAGCAAACAGGAUUAGAUACCCGGGUAGUCC